AAGAACCAAGUGUGAUUAUUUUACCAAAGGGGGCAUUGAUAUUUCUUGAAUGCAAGAAAUAAUCAUUAAAUGAAUGAAUAAGCUUGAUCUUUACAGCAUCGGGCACAUUUUGUUAUUACAAAUAGAUGUGAGCAAAAAUAAAAAAAAGAAGGGGAGAAAGAACGGGACUCCAAAAUGAAAUGGUGGCCACUUACUUCUUGAUUUGAGUGGAAUUUCUUCCAGACAUUCAAAUGGCACUUUAACUAAAAUCAAAGCCUGUCAAAUGUGACUGCAGAUAAUCCAGAUUAUUCCAGGUCUGUGCAGUGCUCACUACUUACAUCUGACACCUUCAGACACUUUGUCCCCACUCCACCCAGCAAAAGGCCAGUAAUUACAGACUACCUCCUACCUCCAAAAAGUUUGUCUUUUAAAUUAAUAGACUCUAAUUUUUAAAAAACAGUUUUAGGUUUACAGAAAAAUUGAGCAGAAACUGCAGACAGUUCCCAAAGACUCCCCCCUUGCCCCAAGUUUCUUUUUAUUAACAUCUUUUAUCAGUGUGGUACAUUUGAUACUGAUAUUGAUACACUACUAUUAACUAAAUUCCAGAGUUUACAUUGGGAAGCCUCUUUGUGUCCUGUAUUCUACGGGUUUUGACAUAUGCAUGAUGUCAUGCAUCCCCCGUGAUGGAAUAGUGUCACUGCCCUAAAAUUCCCCUGUGCUGCAUUUACUCACGCCUCCGUGUCUCCCUCCAAAUCCCUGGCAACCAAGUAUGCAUUUAUGCAACUAUAAAAAUGCAGGCUUUAUGCAAAAUACUAUGUAACUACCUUCUAAUUUAAUAUUGACUUUUCCCCGGGAAAUCCAAAGUAUUGGAGAUUUAUCAUAAGUGAUCUUUUCACU
rnacentral:lncRNA from 1 species